AUGAAAGUCAUGAACCAACUUGCAUUGGUCGAUGCUCGUGUACUACCUGCCCCAAGGCUUAAAUAUCAUGAAUCUGGACGGGAAAAAGUAUGUAAUCCUUCAGUAGGACAAUGGAACAUGAUAAACAAGAGAAUGGUGAAUGGAGGAUCUAUCAACCAUUGGGCAUGUCUAACUUUCGCGUCUCGACUUCAUCCAAACGACAUCGGCAUGUUUUGCCGUGAUCUGGCUCACAUGUGCAAUAGCAUUGGCAUGGAAAUGAACAUGGAACCAUGCGUGAAUAUCACACAAGCGCGCCGUCAGGACACAGUGGAGUCUGCAAUCAGAAAUAUCCAUAGGCAUUCUGCAGAAGUGCUCACUAAGCAAGGUCUAGAAGGGAAGCAACUUGAAUUAUUGAUCAUCAUAUUACCUGAUAUUAGUGGUUCCUAUGGAAAGAUAAAACGGCUCUGUGAAACCGAGCUUGGAGUAAUAACUCAGUGCUGCUUACCCAAGAAUGUUCAGAAGGGUGGGAAACAAUACCUUGAAAAUCUUUCUCUGAAGAUCAAUGUUAAGGUCGGAGGUCGGAAUACAGUACUUGAAGAUGCUUUGUACAAGAGGAUACCCCUUCUGACAGAUGUGCCUACGAUAGUUUUCGGAGCUGAUGUUACCCACCCAGCUGCUGGAGAAGAUGCAUCUCCAUCUAUUGCAGCAGUUGUUGCAUCUAUGGAUUGGCCAGAAGUAACAAAAUACAAAUGCUUGGUCUCUUCACAAGGCCCUAGGGAAGAAAUAAUUGCCGACCUUUACACGGAAACAAUGGAUCCACAAAGGGGACGUGUUGGUGGUGGCAUGAUAAGGGAGUUGCUUCUCUCUUUCUACAGAGCAACUGGAUGCAAACCUCACAGGAUCAUAUUUUAUAUAGAUGGUGUUAGUGAGGGUCAGUUCAGCCAAGUGUUGCUUUAUGAAAUGGAUGCGAUUCGCAAGGCUUGUGCCACUUUACAGGCGGGUUACCUCCCACCAGUCUCAUUUGUUGUUGUGCAAAAGCGGCAUCACACUCGCCUAUUUCCUGAAAAUCAUCGUGCGCGGGAUCUGACGGAUAGAAGUGGGAAUAUCCUACCUGGUACUGUUGUCGACACAAAGAUCUGCCAUCCUACAGAGUUUGAUUUUUACCUCUGCAGCCAUGCUGGUAUUCGGGGAACAAGCCGCCCGACACACUAUCACGUUCUUCUCGACGAAAACCGUUUCAGUGCUGAUGCCCUGCAAACCUUGACCUACAAUCUCUGCUACACCUACGCCCGGUGCACGCGAUCGGUCUCUAUAGUUCCUCCGGCGUACUACGCGCACCUGGCGGCCUUCCGUGCGCGCUACUACAUGCAGGACGAGUUCUCCGACGGGGGCUCGUCGUCGGCCACGGCCAGGUUGGCGCCUACGAGGCAGCUCCCCAAGAUCAGGGACAGUGUCAAGGAGUUCAUGUUCUACUGCUGA
rnacentral:rRNA from 1 species